UCGCUCCUACCAAUUGAAUGAUCCGGUGAAAUGUUCGGAUCAGUUUUUAAUCUAUGGGCAACCAGGGAAAUUACGGAGAAUUUCAUUAAAUCUUAUCAUUUAGAGGAAGGAGAAGUCGUAACAAGGUAUCCGUAGGUGAACCUGCAGAAGGAUCA
rnacentral:rRNA from 1 species